CUUCUUCCGGUCUUUCUCAACUCCGACGCAUUAAGGAGUGGAAGCACGUGUGGAAGUCUGGCGCAACAACGAGGUCUCACCAUGUUGUUGGAAGCCUAUUGUGUCAAACCUUCUAAGCAUGGGUUUGGAUGAAUUUGAUGGACAUCCUGUGGAUGAACGAUACAAUGGAUUCAAGAGAAGGAUGUGUAAUCACUGUUUUGUGAAUUUGAACUGGAGGAACAAAUUGGUCCUUCCUUGCUGCUCGGGAAGUUUAUCCUAAUGGUGUGAUCUGGAAGAUGUCCACUAGGUGACGUGCCUUCACUUUUUCUGGUCACACUUGGCUAGUUUGAAGAAUGAAUAUUGGCAUGCCAUUACAGUGAAGGGGUAAGAGUUGAUGAGGAGUGGAGUGAAGCAUUUCCCAGCAGAAGUUUACUUGGAAGUUGAAGUCUGGUGAUGCUAAAAUCUGUACUGUACAGGAAAUGUAAACUUUGCUGAGCUUUGGAGUGUUGCUUGUAACAAACCUCUUUGGAAGUUUCCAAUAAACCUGACAUUUAAAAA